CAUCAUCCUGGUUCCUCACGCUUUUCCUCACCACCUUUCCCCUGCCUGUUGCUACCCGGGUCUUUGACAUCUUUAUGUAUGAGGGACUGGAGAUUGUGUUCCGAGUCGGCCUUGCCCUGCUGCAAGUGAACCAGACAGAGCUGAUGCAGCUGGACAUGGAGGGCAUGUCCCAGUACUUCCAGAGAGUGAUCCCCCACCAGUUUGACAGCUGCCCAGACAAGCUGGUCCUCAAGGCUUACCAGGUCAAGUACAACCCUAAAAAGAUGAAGAGGCUGGAGAAGGAGUACGCAGCUAUGAAGAGUAAGGAGAUGGAGGAGCAGAUCGAGAUCAAAGGACAAGUGACACGGGCACAGGAGGCUGAGGAGAACUAUGUCAUCAAGCGGGAGUUGGCAGUAGUGAGACAACAAUGUAGCUCGACUGCAGAGGACCUUCAGAAAGCACAGAGUACCAUUCGGCAGUUGCAAGAACAGCAGGAAAACCCUCGCCUAACAGAGGACUUUGUUUCCCACCUGGAGACAGAACUGGAGCAGUCACGGUUACGGGAGACCGAGACUCUGGGGGCCCUUCGAGAAAUGCAGGACAAAGUUCUGGACAUGGAAAAGAGAAACAGCUCACUGCCGGAUGAGAACAAUGUAGCCAGGCUGCAGGAAGAACUCAAGGCCCUCAAGGUGCGGGAGGGCGAGGCCGUAGCCUCUGCGCGGGAACUGAAGCUGCAGCUGCAGGAGCUCUCAGACACCUGGCAGGCUCAUGUUUCCCGCGGUGGCCGCUGGAAGGAGUCCCCGCGGAAGCUGGUCCUGGGAGAGUUACAGGAUGAGCUCAUGACUAUGCGUUUGCGUGAGGCACAGGCCCUGGCGGAUGGCCGUGAGUGGCGGCAGCGCGUGGUGGAACUGGAGACGCAGGACAACAUCCACCGCAACCUGCUGAACCGGGUGGAGGCGGAACGCGCGGCUCUGCAGGAGAAGUUGCAGUACCUGGCAGCACAGAACAAGGGACUCCAGACUCGUCAGAGUUGAGAAUGGUGCCAAAGUCCAUCAGUGUUCCCCGGGCUCCUUUAUCCCUCACCCCUGCAUCUUGGGACCCACCCCUAGGGGCUGACCCCUCUCAGUGCUCCUAGAGCCUCAGGUAGAAUGGUGCCCACAGCAUUCCCUGGGUGCUUCCUAGGUGGGGCCCCCAGCUCAGUCUCCAUUCCUGGUGGCCCACUCGUCAAGUGUUAAAAACGCCUGGGGGCUGGGGCAGGGUACCCCUGAGGAGGCCCUCAUGUGCUCCUCAUGUGCUCCUCCACACUGCCCACCACCAUUUUGCACACUGCCUGUUCACACUCCAUGUCUCCAAGGC
rnacentral:lncRNA from 1 species